UACGAAGGUGGCAAGCGUUACUCGGAAUUACUAGGCGUAAAGCGCAGGUAGGCGGUUCGAUAAGUCUUUUGUGAAAGCUCCCGGCUUAACUGGGAGAGGUCAAGGGAAACUGUCGGGCUCGAGUGUGGUAGAGGAUACUGGAAUUCCCGGUGUAGCGGUGAAAUGCGUAGAUAUCGGGAGGAAUACCUAUGGCGAAAGCAGGUAUCUGGGCCAUCACUGACGCUGAGCUGCGAAAGCUAGGGGAGCAAAC
rnacentral:rRNA from 1 species